rnacentral:tRNA from 1 species
GCCGCCCGGCUGGCCGGGCUGCCCGAGCCGGUCCUCGACCGGCUCGCCACCGCCGCGGUGGCCGGCGUCCGGUUCCGGUCCGAGGCGCUGCC